AAGAAAUUAGUUUAUUUAAAAAAUUUAAAUUCGUCAAGUUUAAGAUACCACAUUAGUAUUUCUUU
rnacentral:tRNA from 1 species